rnacentral:rRNA from 1 species
UACGAAGGGGGCUAGCGUUGCUCGGAAUCACUGGGCGUAAAGGGUGCGUAGGCGGGUCUUUAAGUCAGGGGUGAAAUCCCUCAGCUCAACUGAGGAACUGCAUCCGAUACUGUUUGCCUUGAGGACGAGAGGGGAGAGUGGAACUUCUGGUGAAGCGGUGAAAUGCGUAGAUAUCGGAAGGAACGCCGGUGGCGAAAGCGAGCUGCUGGAUCCCUCCUGACGCUGAGGCGCGAAAGCCAGGGGAGCGAACGGG